rnacentral:antisense_RNA from 1 species
AUUCGUGUGAGUAUUAAAUGACGUGUGUUCUUCUUUUCUCAUUACUCUAUCG